ensembl:lncRNA
AAAUAAUUGUCAAUUGUCAGUUUUAGAACUACUCUGUGAUUUAUUGGAAGGGUAACACCUCAUUAGAAUUAAGAAAUUAAUGCCCAGACAUUACAAAGCAAAAGGAAAAAAGGAAUGGUCUGACAGCCCCAGGCUGGAGAAUGUGUCUCUCCCAAGUGCUCUGUCACCCUGGUAACCAUGGAGACCAUGACGAUCGAUUAGAUGCCAUCUGAUCUCAACCUCAUAAAAAAAAAAAAAAAGGGCAGCAGAUGGCAACCAGGCCACUAGACCUGUCUCAAGAGAGACACGAAGGAAGAGAGAAAGGGGAGAAAGGAGAUACUGUGGUAGACUGAUGCCCAGAGAAGAAAGCACAGAAGCAGUUCUGGAAAUGAACAUCUUGGAAAAGAGUGGAAAUAGAAACAGAAAGCAAGGCAGGCAGGAAUCAGGGAAAGAGGGGAGACAAUGCAAAAAAGAAGCUGCAUCCAAUUGUGCAAUAUAUCUCCAUAGUGAGUGAAGGAGGGAAAGCAAACCACCUCUUUCCCCACUUUUUCCUUGGGUCUGUAGGUCCCAGAACGCUCUGGAAUCCGGGCCAUAAGGUCUCUGAGGGGCAUUCACAAGGCUGUCCUUACGGCUCUCGUAUCAGUUGGAAUUGGAUGCAUCCGUAGAAGAACCCUG